CAGUAGCCGCGGUAAUACGUAGGUGGCGAGCGUUGUCCGGAAUUAUUGGGCGUAAAGCGAGCGCAGGCGGUUAGAUAAGUCUGAAGUUAAAGGCUGUGGCUUAACCAUAGUACGCUUUGGAAACUGUUUAACUUGAGUGCAAGAGGGGAGAGUGGAAUUCCAUGUGUAGCGGUGAAAUGCGUAGAUAUAUGGAGGAACACCGGUGGCGAAAGCGGCUCUCUGGCUUGUAACUGACGCUGAGGCUCGAAAGCGUGGGGCGCAAACAGGAUUAGAUACCCCCGUAGUCCCUGUCUCUUAUACC
rnacentral:rRNA from 1 species